GUCCCAGCCCUGCACAUGACUGAAUUUGCUUCUGUCCAUCAUCUGGGUCAUAUAUAGUUCAAUUCAAGUGAAGCAGACAGGGCUGCGAGGAAAUCUGGAGCCGCUCAAUACUGCGUCCAGCCUGCUCGCGAGCUUCUGCUGCUCCGGGACAAACUCAGGGCUGCGUUUCCCCGCGGCGGCCCGGAGCGCCGUCUCGACGCCAGCGCGCUUCGCGGGGAGCUGCUCGCCUGCCCGCGCCAGCCACAACUUUUUGGACAAAGCUCCAACUGCAAAAACCUUUCCCCUAACAGUUCAGGACUACUCCGUUUGUCUCGCUAGCUUCUACUCCAAAAAGAUGGCAAGAAAAAGUUUUUCCAGGUGGUUGUUCAUGCUGGGCAGAAUUUCCCAGCCCGCUGGAUGCCAGGCUGCUCGACUCUGAAAGGAAUAGAAGAAAGUCUGACCCGUGGCGUACGCUGAUUCUGUGGUUCGACGAUGCCCACUCAUGCUGUCAGCUGCAUGGACAUGGACAACACCAGAAGAGUCACCCGCAAGCUUCUCGCGGGAUGUGGGACACGACUUCUCAACAGCUCGGACGUCAGACAAGCAAGCAGAGGCAGCAGAGGGAUGAAGUAAUAGGAUCAAGCGUAUUUUGUGCUGUUUGCCUACCCAAAAGAUAGGUGGGGAGCAUCGCCUCAAACACAGCCAGUGUGAGAAACAUUUUAGGGUAAAGUGAAUCUGCUUGGAAUCGAGCGGUUCGAGAGGCAACAUGACUCAUCCCCAUCCCUUUCUCCACCCAGUAAGACGUUCUUGCUGCCCAAGGGUCACUCAGCUUAACCGAGCAGUCGCCGAGAACUGGACUGCCUUAAAGCGCUGGCACGGAGAAAGCUUUCUGAAGACCCAAGAUCAAGAGGGAAGGGGAUACGAACUGUAGAGAUACAAAUAAACUACACAAUCUACUGAGAAACAGAAGUGGUGCUGCCCCCCCUCCUCUCGCUUUUGUUGGUUUGCAGUUGUGGGAUGUGUUGCCACCCCCCGCUUUUUUUCUUUUUUUAAAUGAACUUUAGAAAGAAAUCUGAAACAUUUUUAAAACUUUUCCUGUAGCUAUUUAGAAUAUUUAUAUCCACAAGAGAAAAGGCUUUUUCACAGCUAUAACGCAGGUACGUUCAAAGCUGGUUUAAGAAACAUUAAGUCAAUUCAGCAUCAGUAACUGUAGUCUUACACUUCUGCAAUUCAUUAGCCAUCAUGGUUCCAUUUCAUAAUUAAAAUACUUUCAGUUUAAGAGUGUACAACAAAGAAUGUGCAGCCCUCAGCAGUGUUUCCACUGUUAGUCUAUGGAAAACAUAUGCAUGGAAAGUAUGUACAGCGCACGUAUACAGCCAUCGUCGGAUAGCUUCAGUGAACAUUCAACGCUGUCGGUGAGUUUGAGAACUAGAAAAAACCAUCGACCGUUGACUGUACCUUGAGGUUUAUCACAAACCCUCUGUUAAAUGGAAAGCUUGAACCUUCGUAAUGUUUCACACGUGGUUGCUAUUAACAGGUCACGGUUUACAGAUUAUAUUAAGAGCAAAGCAGCUAGUUGAGUUUUCUUAGUUCUGCCUUCUCCCAAAAAGAAUUGGUAUAUAAGAAAUGGUUGUUUUCUAUUUAAGAAAAAAAUUGAUAUAAAGUAAGCAUAAUUCCUGCAAAACAAAGCAUCUGAGUGUAAUGGAAGGUUCUGUAUGAACAGCACAAAAGCAAUGAUGUAUCCACAAGCAUAUGGUAAACUUAGAAGCAAAUCUGAGUAUGGUAUAGGUUCAACGUAGCAGGAUACGGACCAGAUCAGGAUGGAAACCUCCCUUCCAUUUGGGCUGGCGACUCGAGCUUUGCCAGCAGCAGCUCUGCCACGCCAGCGCCCGUGCUGCGGGGGACCCUCGCGCAGUUUCCAGCAGUGGCUCGCCGGCAGCGCCAGCCCCAGCCCCGGCCCCGCAGCACGGCCAGCUGUCCCACGCCUCCCGCUAGCACCUGCAGCGAGAAAACACCCGUCCCUGCCACCGAGCGCAGCGCGAGCGGCACGGGCACCUCUGCCGCGGCUCUCCAGCACCCUCGCGAGCAGUUGGGGUAGGCUGCAACGCAGCAGGCUUCAACAGCAGGUGCAAGUGCACUUUGCAGAGCCACCAAGACUUUAAGCAGCCCUGAAAUAUGUCCUGAGAUUGAGAUGACGAGAGUACCAUUUAUGCCCUGCGAAAGCACACAAACAGCUGAGUUGCAUGGAGAAACAGCACCGCACAUCUUAAGCACCUAAUGGCUGCAAUCAACAUUCAUUGCUGUCGGUGGGUUUUUGUUUCUAUCAACUCACUGAUCAAUGAAUGCAAACUGCGGACCAGCUAGCUAAGAGCCUGCGCGUUUGGACAAGCUGAGCCUUGCGGGGGGUCAGCAAGAAAAGUGACUUACGCUUCUUGUUGAAUAAGCGCUGGAUUCAAGUUCUGCCUAGCAAUAAGUGUGUACAGGGCAGGUCUGUGGCUCUGCCAUUACCUCACUGAGGAAUUUUAGGACAAGUCAUUUAAGGUUCUUCAUGAGCACAUGCCUGUGCUGAGGCUCUUUACCACCCAGUCACUGUGAGGAUUAACAUUUUGCAAAGUACUAAAUUGUGGUUAAAAUAGAAGUAACCCAUAUAGAAAAAGCAGACCUUAUAACGGGGCACAAGUACAGUUUUUUGAGAAGCAUAUCAACUGCAUGAAGCAUUUCAGGCACAACCUUUUGUACAGCACUGCAAGAACAGACUCCAAUUCAAUAUCGUAACUUCUAAAGCUGUGCAAAAAAUUCUUUUCCCACAAGGCCUGAACAAACCCAUUUAUAGGCAAUCCUUGGAAGAGUCCGAAGUCGUGCAAUGUACUGGACCUCAUGGGUCUAGAGAGUGUGUGUCUACUGGGGUGCUUUCCUUCUAAAUACAGGAAAACAUAAUCAUGAUCCAUCUUCAGGACAGACUGAAGCAGAUUUCUCUGUCAUUUAUCACCUUCAGGAGAAGCUGCUUCCAUGUUAAACACUUUAUAGAGAAUAUGUAAAUCCUGCUGUUUAAAUGUGAAAACCUGACCAACAACUGUCACGUGCAUUUUUGUACAAGUCUGUACUGCUUACUGAAACACAAAAAUAAUAUCUUGUAGUCUA